CCAGGAUUCGAACCAACGAAACACUGGGAUGCCUGCAGCGGAGCGCGCGAACUUAACCACUCAGCCGCGGGGCCAGCCCCCUUUAGUGACCAUUUUUAAAGUGAUAACUCUAGUAUUUAAAAGAAUUGUCUUUGAAACAGACACACCCUGAGAAGAAAGGUUGAUGACUUCCCAAGGAUGAGAUCUGUAAAACUGUGCUGGUUCCUAUCCUCCCCAAGCAUUCAUUGUUCAUCUUUUGUUUUGAUGCUGGCUGCUUUCCAGAAUCUCAAAUAAAUCCUUUCAUGUUGUUUAAAUUA